CUUUGAUCACCAAACAAAAGAAGAAGUGGAAAUCUCAUCUCCUUACAAGAAGAAGAGUUCGAUUAAGGCAUAGAGAAGAUUAUCGGAGGAGAAGCUUCAAGCAAAGGAAAAGAGAUUACGGACAAGUAACCUUGGAGGGUGUUAGCUUGCCAAGUUUGUGACAGCACAGCAGCGGGAUAGCAGCGUGAAGUGCUUGGCAGAGUAGUUUGUAUUUUCUUAAGCUGUGUAUGAAGCUUAUAUAUUUUGGCAUGUAGUUGAUGGAUCCACUAGGAUAUUACCAACCCUAAUAUUAAUA